rnacentral:rRNA from 1 species
GCUGAGGCACGAAAGCGUGGGGAGCAAACAGGAUUAGAUACCCUGGUAGUCCACGCCGUAAACGAUGAGUACUAAAUGUUGGGUAAAACCAGUGUUGAAGUUAACACAUUAAGUACUCCGCCUGAGUAGUACGUACGCAAGUAUGAAACUUAAAGGAAUUGACGGGACUCCGCACAAGCGGUGGAUCAUGUUGUUUAAUUCGAAGGUACCCGAAAAACCUCACCAGGUCUUGACAUGCUUCUGCAAAGCUGUAGAAACACAGUGGAGGUUAUCAGUUGCACAGGUGGUGCAUGGUUGUCGUCAGCUCGUGUCGUGAGAUGUUGGGUUAAGUCCCGCAACGAGCGCAACCCUUAUUGUUAGUUGCCAGCACGUAAUGGUGGGGACUUUAGCAAGACUGCCAGUGAUAAAUUGGAGGAAGGUGGGGACGACGUCAAAUCAUCAUGCCCCUUAUGACCUGGGCUACAAACGUGAUACAAUGGCUGUUACAAAG